CCCUUAGAUGUCCUGGGCCGCACGCGCGCUACACUGAGUGUCUGAGAUACGAGUCUGCCUGGUCCGGCAAGGUCUAGGUAAUCGCUAAAAGACACAUCAUGCUUGGGAUAGAUUAUUGCAAAUGUUAAUCUUGAACGAGGAAUUCCUAGUAAGCGCAAGUCAACAGCUUGCGUUGAUUACGUCCCUGCCCUUUGUACACACCGCCCGUCGCUACUACUGAUUGGAUGUUUAAGCGAGGUUCUCGAACUGCUAGCGACUUAGCUUCGGUGAGGUCGCAGUGUGGGAAGUGAACCUAGCUUUGGUGUCUAGAGGAAGUAAAAGUCGUAACA
rnacentral:rRNA from 1 species